rnacentral:rRNA from 1 species
GAUGAACGCUGGCGGCGUGCCUAAUACAUGCAAGUCGAGCGAACAGACGAGGAGCUUGCUCCUCUGAUGUUAGCGGCGGACGGGUGAGUAACACGUGGAUAACCUACCUAUAAGACUGGGAUAACUUCGGGAAACCGGAGCUAAUACCGGAUAACAUGUUGAACCGCAUGGUUCAACAGUGAAAGACGGUCUUGCUGUCACUUAUAGAUGGAUCCGCGCCGCAUUAGCUAGUUGGUAAGGUAACGGCUUACCAAGGCAACGAUGCGUAGCCGACCUGAGAGGGUGAUCGGCCACACUGGAUCUGAGACACGGUCCAGACUCCUACGGGAGGCAGCAGUAGGGAAUCUUCCGCAAUGGGCGAAAGCCUGACGGAGCAACGCCGCGUGAGUGAAGAAGGUCUUCGGAUCGUAAAACUCUGUUAUUAGGGAAGAACAAAUGUGUAAGUAACUAUGCACGUCUUGACGGUACCUAAUCAGAAAGCCACGGCUAACUACGUG